rnacentral:rRNA from 1 species
AUUGAACGCUGGCGGCAUGCUUUACACAUGCAAGUCGAGCGGCAGCGCGGGGGCAACCCUGGCGGCGAGCGGCGAACGGGUGAGUAACGCAUCGGAACGUAUCCUGUAGUGGGGAAUAACUCAUCGAAAGGUGAGCUAAUACCGCAUAAGCUCUGAGGAGGAAAGCGGGGGACCGAAAGGCCUCGCGCUGCAGGAGCGGCCGAUGUCCGAUUAGCUAGUUGGUGAGGUAAAGGCUCACCAAGGCGACGAUCGGUAGCUGGUCUGAGAGGAUGAUCAGCCACACUGGGACUGAGACACGGCCCAGACUCCUACGGGAGGCAGCAGUGGGGAAUCUUGCGCAAUGGACGAAAGUCUGACGCAGCGACGCCGCGUGGGGGAUGAAGGUCUUCGGAUUGUAAACCCCUUUCGGAGGGAAGAUGAUGACGGUACCUGGAGAAUAAGCCCCGGCUAACUUCGUGCCAGCAGCCGCGGUAAU